rnacentral:rRNA from 1 species
GACGAACGCUGGCGGCGUGCCUAAUACAUGCAAGUAGAACGCUGAAGGAGGAGCUUGCUCUUCUGGAUGAGUUGCGAACGGGUGAGUAACGCGUAGGUAACCUGCCUGGUAGCGGGGGAUAACUAUUGGAAACGAUAGCUAAUACCGCAUAAGAGUAGAUGUUGCAUGACAUUUACUUAAAAGGUGCAAUUGCAUCACUACCAGAUGGACCUGCGUUGUAUUAGCUAGUUGGUGGGGUAACGGCUUACCAAGGCGACGAUACAUAGCCGACCUGAGAGGGUGGUCGGCCACACUGGGACUGAGACACGGCCCAGACUCCUACGGGAGGCAGCAGUAGGGAAUCUUCGGCAAUGGACGGAAGUCUGACCGAGCAACGCCGCGGGAGUGAAGAAGGUUUUCGGAUCGGAAAGCUCUGUUGUAAGAGAAGAACGAGUGUGAGAGUGGAAAGUGCACACUGUGACGGUAUCUUACCAGAAAGGGACGGCUAACUACGUG